rnacentral:piRNA from 1 species
UGACACCAAAAGCUAUCUCUCUGAAGCCUC